rnacentral:lncRNA from 1 species
AAUGUUGUAAUGUUUCUCAAUUAGUAUAUAAGGGAUUACGCACACCAGCAUUACAUAAUUGACAUUACCACUGAUCAUAGUCUAUUUUGAACAAGAAUCUGUGGAGUGAAUAGUGAUCCUUUUCAGUGUCACUUAUGUGGAAAAGGUAGUGAACCACAGCAAUGGAAGUAGCCGUUCGCGUCAUACCAAAACCGUUUUGAGAUCUGAGCCUCUCUGAUUAGAUAUUCACCCCAAUCCGUUCUCCCAAACUCUUUAUGUAUCUCUCGUCCAUCGAAAGUCAUCCCUUUGCUUUUAUCCCUUCUGUAGGUUGCAUUCAUCAUCGUGACAUGUAGCUGCAGAAAGAAAGGAACCCACAUUACUUCAAUCAUUGUCUUUCUCCUAGUAAACGAGAUAUAUAAAAGCAUUUACCUUUAAGCGUGACUUUGCAUCUUUCCCAGCAAAUCCAACAUUCACAAAUGCAUCUAUGAUUAUAUCUGAAUUAUGGAGUUAAAGAAUUCAACAGAUCUUGCAAACUGAAACUAGGAUAUAAAUUCAAGUAUCUAUCUUAAACCAAAGAGGCAUGCGUAAAAAUAAGCUCUUCGAGAUAAUAGGAUGCUACAAGCCCUUAGCAGCCGGCCAUCACCCCCAACUUCUUCAACAGGUGCAUAGAGCACUCGAGUUUUGUCUAAAGAUCCAUUCAUACAAUCCUUAACAAGAGAAAAUAUACAAAGCAUACCUCAAAGUUAUGACUCUAACCACUAUAAAUACUGUAGUAUUUUAUAAAAAAAAAAACAAAAUUGUAGUAACGUAAAACCCAAGGAUGUUACAUCGUACCAAUCCUUUAAGUCGUAUGAGGACAGGGCGGUUAUCCAAAGCAUGCAUCACAUUUGCAGAAACACUCUUAAUUUUCAGAAAAAAAACAAGAUCUCAAUCAUCAAACCAAUCGUAUAGAAGAUGCAUACAGUAUCUCUUUAACUCAUAGGAAUCAAAUUGUAACCUUGAGGAUAUCCUGAGCUGCGUCCACAGCUUCCUUAUUCUCUAACUUUAACAUAACCACGGUCAAGUGUAAACUGUUUGGCGAAAUAAACAUCGACUUUUCGAUUCCCAUUUCUGCUUAAGAUGGCAUGUCAUGAAAACAAGUUUUAUAAUAAAAUUUGUACUCUCCUAUUUUAUUUAUUUUUGUUUUGUUUGAUCUUACCAUCUAAAGUGCUCUGAAACUUCAAAGGUUUCUUAUCGUUAUUGUCACCCAAUAUAUAAUUCCGAAAAGCCUCAACCUUUUGUUUCAGCUCAGGGUAUAUAGCUAAUGGAAGUGAUAUAAAGUGUGUAAACACUUCUCCUUGACCUUGUACAAUCUACCAAACAUUUCAAGAUUCCAGUGAUCACACUAAGGUAAAGAAAAAAAAAAUUUCCAGAAAACUUCUCAACACUGAUGAUGAAGAAUCUGGGAACUAGAUCAGCAAACCUGCUUGCCUUUGGAGACAUGUGGACUUGGAUGGGAAGUGGAAGAUUCCCCGCGAAUCUGUACUGAUGAGCUCUGCUUUGACGAGUUCUUGAACAAAUCUGUUUUCACACGAGUCUUCUCCGAUCACAUACAACACAACUACACAAGCAUAAUCCAGAAACACUAGAGGAGAGAAUCAAGAAAGUCAGAGAGAGACUUUACCCAUUAGCUUGAAGCUGUGAAUUUGCCUGCGUUUAAGACUUUUCAGUUCCACAUUAAAGAUACUGUUUUUAAACAUAUAAAUGAGACUUGGUCAACGACCCCACCAAAGACUCUCCUCACCUAAACCCACAUAACUCGUUAAGUAGUAAUUUUUUUUUUUCCUUUGAACAUUUCGUUAAGUCGUAAUUUGAGAAAAAAGGCUGCUUUGUAAGAAUUAGACAUUUUAAGGCACUAAUUGUAGCUUUAGGUUAAUCAUUAUACUCCUUUUUUUUUUUGAAGGCUCGCAUGCAUUUUUCUUGCGAGCCAUAUUGUGAUACAAAGCGUUUCCACUAAGUCAUGAUGUAUGGAAGUGAUACAAGCAUAAUCCACUCUUGGAGAAUAAAUCAAGAGAGAGAGAGACAUUUUACUCAUAACACGAUUUUGCCGCCGUUUGAGACUUUUUCACGUUCAAUGUCCUUUUAACAUAUAAAUGAGCGUAAUGAAGUUGCAAGGGACAUGGUCAACAUCUCUAACCUAAGCCCACAGAAAACUCCUAAUUUGAAAAACCACUCUUUGUAACGACUCAAGCGGACUAUGUGCAACUUAAUUAAUCAAAGUUACUCAUUGAUUUAACCUCAAGAAUUAGGUUAAUCAAUGACUUAUACACAUGCGUUUCUCUUCCAGCAUUGAUCUUUAAUACUUUUUUGGCAAUAAAUAGUUGUUAUCAUGUAAAAACCUUAAACUCUCAGCGAAUUGGACCCUGUGCAAAAGCACCUUAUGCACAUGGCAAGAACUGCUCCUGUGAUAAUUAAUCUCAUAUUUAUUUGAACCAAGAAAAGAACAUUAGCUUUGUGUUUUAUUUUAAUCAUAUUUCAGGUUGUAAUUACUAAUAGCUAAUAACUAAGUUAAGGAAAACAUUAAUACAAUCACGUUUAAAAACAUUGCAAAUUAGGAGAUAGUAAAAGGGCAAGCAUUCCGAUAGGCUCUCUUCCAGGAUAGAGCUUUUCACGGUUCUCUUAUGAGUUUAUUCUUCACUUUUCGAAACUUGCGAUGGUUUACACCAGGGUGGGGCUCUUGGGUUGCUUAGAAAGAACAUUCUUCUCCAUAGGCAAGAGUCUUGAACAUCUCAUUAGGUAGUGGAACAGAUCAACAGAGGUGUCUAUUCUGAGCUCCACUAUAGGAAACACGAGUUUCAUUGAAGCUACAGCUUCAUAAACACAUCUUCCCGGAGAUUUGGGCAUUUCGUAUCCCAAAACAGACUUGCACAGAUGAUCUAAAGAGGGGCCUUGGAAGCGGGCCAGUACCUAGAAUAGAAGAUUAGCGGUUAAAAUAUUUAUUAACCAAAGGGUCAUUAUAGAGCCAAAGCCCAGUGCUUUGUGGUGAAGCCCAAUCUUCCAAAUAACUAAACAAAAUUAAUUGAACCAAGUAGGCGAGUUAGUAAACCGCGAGAGGGAGAAUUAAAAAUUUAAAAUGAUAAGAAAAAUCGAGACAGCUAUGCUUAGGGAUUGCAACUGGCUAGUAACUAGUUGAUUAUGUUUCCUUAUGAGAAUAUAGAUUUGACCAUUAGCUUGGUAAUCGUACUGCACUACACGGAAAACAUACUAACUAAAUGUAUACUUUACGUAAUGUAGAAGUUUUCAAAAUGGUGACCGGUCCAAUAAAACGAACCAAACAUACAUAACCGGUUUCAAUUGAGUAGACACAAAACAAGUCCAAUCGCACAGUACUAAAAUCUAAAUAUUUUAAUAUAUGUCCAGGUACUCUGAUUAUUACUACUUAAUUUUCUUGAAAGCUUAAGACUAUCUUUUUAAUUAAGACUAGGGUCGGCCCGCCCUACGGGCGGGAUAUAUUUUACUUGUGAUCUAAGUUAUUAUUUUUAUAUGAUUUUGCUGUUUGUGUUUUAGGUUUCCAUUUGCAAGAGAUGUAUAUGAUAUAUUACUAAAAAAAGAUCACAUUACAUCACAUAAAUAGUAUAAAAAGACGAAAGAAUAGCUUGCUUUGUGCUCACUACAUGGCUCCAUAAAAUUAAAAUAAAAUGGUGAAAAUUUGGACCAUUUGUCGAUCUGUGCGUGUCAUCCGGCUAGAGCUUCCGCCCUGGCUUCGAUUCCUCUUGGUAACUCAUGGACGCCUUUAGUAGCAAGAAAAUACAGAUUUUCGUGGAUCUCGUAGUGAUUAGUCAUUGGGCAUAGAAAGCCUUUGGGAUCACACUAUGUUUAUCAAAAAAAAAAUAGUAUCAGAAAAACAAAUGGUAUCAAUUUGAGACACUUAUUAAUAAAUGAUACAAAAUAUCGUUUUAACAUCAGUUAUUGUAAUUGAUGUUGUUAUUAACUUAUCUUUGUCUAUAUUAAUCUUUGUUAAACCAGUGAAGAUCAAUUAAAAGAUACAUUGUAUUUUCAUAUAUGUGUAAAAAUAUGCAGUUUACUCAAAAAUAAAAAUAAUUUUAAUUUUAACUAUUUUUCUGUUGUUCUUAUUAGAAAUCAAAGGUUUGAUAAAUUAAUAAAAGUCUCAAUAAUGUGAUUCUUUUACAUUUUUAGCGUUUGUUAUAUUUUUAUUAUAAAAGUAAGUAAAAUAAAAAUAUUUGACACUACAAUUUAAAUUCAAUACAUAAAUUAUGAAUUAUUUUUCAUUCUUAUAUAUUUGUCUUUGAAUGUGUUGGUACUUUUUCCCCUGGCCUAAAUUUGAGUGUGGUGAUAAAAUAUAGAAAACAUUUCUGUGAAAUUCUCUCUAUUUCUUUUUGUUGACUUGAGUUUAAAUGUAACUAAACAACAUAGUAAGUGGGAUUUCCUCUGUUUUUGAUAAUUUAUAUCUUUAUUUUUUAAAAUUAUAUAGUUUAGAUUAAAUUGUGUAUUUUAAUUAUUGAUUAAUAUUUCACCAAGUGCAAUUUGUUUACUAAAUUUUAUCGUAUAGAUAUAUGUUCUAUUGUUGUUAAAAAGGAUAUAUGUUCUAUUUUACUAUAUUGGUGGUCUUAUAAAAAGGCGACAGCCAUAGUUGUAGAAUGAGUUUAUGAUUGAGAAAUCACCAACGAUCACCACCCCUUUAUACAAAAGCACAUAACAAAGACAUAAGUCGUGAAAGGUUUGCUCAGUAGCGUGGUUGGAUGAGGUUAACAUAUGAAUAGUAUUGUAAAAAAGGACUGUUUAGUUUCAUGUUGUAUUGAUUAUUUUACAUUAUGGGAUAUUUGAAAGAGAUGGUGGAAUUUACGUCGUUAGAUAUAUAAGUUCGAACGUACGUGAGCUGUUUUUUAUAGAGCAGUUAGAGACAUUGAGCUAUUACGUUUGUUAAUGUGGAUGAUUUACAUUGAGCUAUUACGUUUGUUAUUACGUCUGUUUUUUUUUGUAAUUUUCUGUAAUGAAUAUUGGAUGAUUAUUGAUUUAUAUACUUCUAAAUUUUGGAAUUCAAAGAAAAUAUUUUUAUUCACCAUUUUUUUGUUUACAGUCAUUAACUUUGUUUUUAAGAACAAUCAGAUUAUUAUGGUCUUUGAAAUUAUGUUCUCUUUUUAUACUUUCUGACUUGAUAUACUUGGGUAAUGUACAUGAUUUCAGCGCUCAAGAAUCUGUGGAGUGAAUAGUGAUCCUUUUCAGUGUCACUUAUGUGGAAAAGGUAGUGAACCACAGCAAUGGAAGUAGCCGUUCGCGUCAUACCAAAACCGUUUUGAGAUCUGAGCCUCUCUGAUUAGAUAUUCACCCCAAUCCGUUCUCCCAAACUCUUUAUGUAUCUCUCGUCCAUCGAAAGUC